rnacentral:rRNA from 1 species
UGAACAAUCAGGUUUUUUGGUGAUUCAUAAUAACUUUUCGAAUCGUAUGACAUUACAGACGACGAUGGUUCAUUCAAAUUUCUGCCCUAUCAACUUUCGAAGAACCAAUAUAAUUGGUGACUCAUAAUAACAUUACGGAUCACAAUUAAUGUGACAUAUCAUUCAAGUUUCUGACCUAUCAGCUUUAGACGGUAGGGUAUUGGCCUACCGUGGCAAUGACGGGUAACGGGGAAUUAGGGUUCGAUUCCGGAGAGGGAGCCUGAGAAACGGCUACCACAUCUAAGGACGGCAGCAGGCGCGCAAAUUACCCAAUCCUAAUACAGGGAGGUAGUGACAAGAAAUAACAAUACAGGACUUUUUGGUUUUGUAAUUGGAAUGAGUUAAGUAUAAACCCCUUUACAAGUAUCAAUUGGAGGGCAAGUCUGGCGCCAGCAGCCGCGGUAAUUCCAGCUCCAAUAGCGUAUAUUAAAGUUGUUGCAGUUAAAAAGCUCGUAGUUGGAUUUCUGUUAAUAAUUUAUAUAAAAUAUUUAGAUGAAUAUUUAUAUAAUAUUAACAUAAUUCAUAUUACUAUAUAUUUUUUUAGUAUAUGAAAUUUUACUUAGAGAAAAUUAGAGUGCUUAAAGCAGGCAUAUGCCUUGAAUACUCCAGCAUGGAAUAAUAUUAAAGAUUUUUAUCUUUUUUAUUGGUUCUAAGAUAAGAAUAAUGAUUAAUAGGGACAGUUGGGGGCAUUUGUAUUUAACAGUCAGAGGUGAAAUUCUUAGAUCUGUUAAAGACAAACUAAUGCGAAAGCAUUUGCCAAGGAUGUUUUCAUUAAUCAAGAACGAAAGUUAGGGGAUCGAAGACGAUCAGAUACCGUCGUAGUCUUAACCAUUAGAA